GGAUGCGAUCAUACCAGCACUAAAGCCCCCGAUCCCAUCAGAACUCCGAAGUUAAUCGUGCUUGGGCGAGAGUAGUACUAGGAUGGGUGAUCUCCUGGGAAGUCCUCGUGUUGCAUUCC
rnacentral:rRNA from 2 species